GCCGCUGUAGCUCAGUUGGUAGAGCACCUGACUUGUAAUCAGGGGGUCGCGAGUUCGAUUCCUGCCGGCGGCACCA
rnacentral:tRNA from 1 species